rnacentral:rRNA from 1 species
GACGAACGCUGGCGGCGUGCCUAAUACAUGCAAGUCGAGCGGACAUUCCGGAGUGCUUGCACUCCGGAGGGUUAGCCGCGGACGGGUGUAACACGCGUAGGAACCCUGCCCAUCAGUGGGAGAUAAUAUUCGAAAACGAAUUCAGACACCGGAUAAACGGACUUCUCAUGUGACGGGAUUGGAAAAGGCGGUUCAUUCUGCCGAUUGAUGAUUCGGCGGCGGCGCAUGAGCUAGUUGGUGGGGUAACGGCCUACCAAGGCGACGAUGCGUAGCCGACCUGAGAGGGUGAUCGGCCACACUGGGACUGAGACACGGCCCAGACUCCUACGGGAGGCAGCAGUAGGGAAUCUUCCGCAAUGGGCGCAAGUCUGACGGAGCAACGCCGCGUGAGUGAUGAAGGUCUUCGGGUCGUAAAGCUCUGUUGUCAGGGAAGAACAAGUGGGGAAGUAACUGUGCUUGCCAUGACGGUACCUAAGAAGAAAGCCCCGGCUAACUACGUG